rnacentral:rRNA from 1 species
GACGAACGCUGGCGGCGUGCCUAAUACAUGCAAGUCGAGCGAAGUUUUUCUGGUGCUUGCACUAGAAAAACUUAGCGGCGAACGGGUGAGUAACACGUAAAGAACCUGCCUCAUAGACUGGGACAACUAUUGGAAACGAUAGCUAAUACCGGAUAACAGUAUUUCUCGCAUGAGAGAUAUUUAAAAGUUGGUUAUGCUAACACUAUGAGAUGGCUUUGCGGUGCAUUAGCUAGUUGGUGGGGUAAAGGCCACCAAGGCGACGAUGCAUAGCCGACCUGAGAGGGUGAUCGGCCACACUGGGACUGAGACACGGCCCAGACUCCUACGGGAGGCAGCAGUAGGGAAUCUUCCGCAAUGGGCGAAAGCCUGACGGAGCAACGCCGCGUGAGUGAAGAAGGAUUUCGGUUCGUAAAGCUCUGUUGUUAGGGAAGAAUGGAUAUGUAGUAACUAUACAUGUAAGAGACGGUACCUAGCCAGAAAGCCACGGCUAACUACGUG